UACGGAGGAUCCGAGCGUUAUCCGGAUUUAUUGGGUUUAAAGGGUGCGCAGGCGGAAGAUUAAGUCGGUGGUGAAAUUUUGCAGCUCAACUGUAAAAGUGCCUUCGAAACUGGUUUCCUUGAGUGUAGAUGAAGUAGGCGGAAUUUGUGGUGUAGCGGUGAAAUGCUUAGAUAUCACGAGGAACUCCGAUUGCGCAGGCAGCUUACUAAACUACUACUGACGCUCAGGCACGAAGGCGUGGGGAUCAAACAGGAUUAGAUACCCUGGUAGU
rnacentral:rRNA from 1 species